AGAACGAACGCUGGCGGCAUGCCUAACACAUGCAAGUCGAACGAGACCUUCGGGUCUAGUGGCGCACGGGUGCGUAACGCGUGGGAAUCUGCCCUUAGGUUCGGAAUAACAGUUAGAAAUGACUGCUAAUACCGGAUAAUGUCUUCGGAACCAAAGAUUUAUUGCCUAAGGAUGAGCCCGCGUAAGAUUAGCUUGUUGGUGAGGUAAAGGCUCACCAAGGCGACGAUCUUUAGCUGGUCUGAGAGGAUGAUCACGCCACACGUGGGACUGAG
rnacentral:rRNA from 1 species